AUUUAGAAGGCUCAAAAUUUUCCCAUAGCUUUUUCCAAACUCAUCACGUCUGCUGAGAGACAAAUCAGAGAUCAAACCCUUCAGACUAUCCAACUUAGGUUCCUUGUACUUAAGCGUGAAAGUGUGUCUCACUGAAGUUGUCAUUUUCAAGUUCUCAAUUCCUGAAACAAAUAAGAGGUAACUAAGAGUUUGCUUUUUAUGAUGUUGAUGCAAUGUAUGAAUGUAAUGCAUUUUUUUUUGUAUAGGUUCAAUAGGCUUAAAGCAUGGAUAAGUCUGAUUGCUU
rnacentral:lncRNA from 1 species